rnacentral:lncRNA from 1 species
CUCCCUCCUCCCCGCCGCAUGUCUCUCGUACUCUCUCCCUCUCUCGGUUCUCUCUCCCUCUAAGGUUCUAACUCUCCCUCUAAGGAGAUGGUCAGGAGCUCACGGCGGAUCUGGCCGCGGGCCCUCUUCGUCCGGCUACCACAGUAGCGCGCCUGCCGUCGGAGCUCGCGGAAGAGAUGGUCAGGGAGCUCUCGGCAGAUCGACCCCGAAGUCGUCGACUUCCACGAGUUCCAUGAGUUCAUCUCGUUCUGUUUUCAAUGAAUCUUUUCUUUUCAAGUGUAUGUUAAUCCCUAUUCUGGAUCUAUGAACGGAGAUAUUUGAAUUUGUUUGAUUUGUGAGACGUUGAUUAAUAUGUUUAAUUUGUGAGACAUUUGAUCAAUUUGUGAUUUGGUGCAUCU